rnacentral:rRNA from 1 species
GGGGAAUUUUGGACAAUGGGCGCAAGCCUGAUCCAGCAAUGCCGCGUGCAGGAAGAAGGCCUUCGGGUUGUAAACUGCUUUUGUACGGAACGAAACGGUCCUGGUUAAUACCCGGGGCUAAUGACGGUACCGUAAGAAUAAGCACCGGCUAACUACGUGCCAGCAGCCGCGGUAAUACGUAGGGUGCAAGCGUUAAUCGGAAUUACUGGGCGUAAAGCGUGCGCAGGCGGUUUUGUAAGACAGGCGUGAAAUCCCCGGGCUUAACCUGGGAAUUGCGCUUGUGACUGCAAAGCUGGAGUGCGGCAGAGGGGGAUGGAAUUCCGCGUGUAGCAGUGAAAUGCGUAGAUAUGCGGAGGAACACCGAUGGCGAAGGCAAUCCCCUGGGCCUGCACUGACGCUCAUGCACGAAAGCGUGGGGAGCAAAC